rnacentral:rRNA from 1 species
CGUAACAAGGUCUCCGUUGGUGAACCAGCGGAGGGAUCAUUACCGAGUUUACAACUCCCAAACCCCUGUGAACAUACCACUUGUUGCCUCGGCGGAUCAGCCCGCUCCCGGUAAAACGGGACGGCCCGCCAGAGGACCCCUAAACUCUGUUUCUAUAUGUAACUUCUGAGUAAAACCAUAAAUAAAUCAAAACUUUCAACAACGGAUCUCUUGGUUCUGGCAUCGAUGAAGAACGCAGCAAAAUGCGAUAAGUAAUGUGAAUUGCAGAAUUCAGUGAAUCAUCGAAUCUUUGAACGCACAUUGCGCCUGCCAGUAUUCUGGCGGGCAUGCCUGUUCGAGCGUCAUUUCAACCCUCAAGCACAGCUUGGUGUUGGGACUCGCGUUAAUUCGCGUUCCCCAAAUUGAUUGGCGGUCACGUCGAGCUUCCAUAGCGUAGUAGUAAAACCCUCGUUACUGGUAAUCGUCGCGGCCACGCCGUUAAACCCCAACUUCUGAAUGUUGACCUCGGAUCAGGUAGGAAUACCCGCUGAACUUAUGCAUAUCAAUACACGCCGGAGAAGAUCAUUACCCGGUUUACAACUCCAAACCUGUGAACAUACAUUGGUUUCUCGGGAUCAGCCGCUCCGGUAAAAGGGGACGGCGCGGAGGACCUAAACUCUGUUUCUAUAUGUAACUUCGGAGUAAAACAUAAAUAAAUCA